rnacentral:RNase_P_RNA from 1 species
AAAGCUCAAAAGGUAAUCGCUGUAUUUUUACAGAGGAAAGUCCGGGCAGCACAGGGUACGGUAGUCGCUAACGGCGACCGUCCGCAAGGAUAGGGAAAGUACCACAGAAACAAAACCGCUUUUAUAGCAAGGGUGAAAAGAGUGGGGUAAGAGCCCACAGCGGUGUGUAGCGAUGCGCAUCGGAGGCAAACCCUACUGGCUGCAAGGAGUGCUAUUCACCUCUACCCGAGGAUGCACGUUCACCGCUCGAACACUGGAGCAAUCUAGUGUCUAGAUAGAUGAUUACCAUCUCUGUUUUACAGAGAUACAGAACCCGGCUUAUUGAGAGCAUCAAAA